rnacentral:rRNA from 1 species
UACAGAGGGUGCGAGCGUUAAUCGGAAUUACUGGGCGUAAAGGGUGCGUAGGUGGUUAUGUAAGUUAGGUGUGAAAUCCCUGGGCUCAACCUGGGAAUUGCGCUUAAAACUGCAUGGCUAGAGUAUUGUAGAGGAAAGUGGAAUUUCCGGUGUAGCGGUGAAAUGCGUAGAUAUCGGAAGGAACACCAGUGGCGAAGGCGGCUUUCUGGACAAAUACUGACACUGAGGUACGAAAGCGUGGGUAGCGAACAGG